rnacentral:rRNA from 1 species
GCCAGACUCCUACGGGAGGCAGCAGUGGGGAAUAUUGCACAAUGGGGGAAACCCUGAUGCAGCGACGCCGCGUGAGUGAAGAAGUAUUUCGGUAUGUAAAGCUCUAUCAGCAGGGAAGAUAAUGACGGUACCUGACUAAGAAGCCCCGGCUAACUACGUGCCAGCAGCCGCGGUAAUACGUAGGGGGCAAGCGUUAUCCGGAUUUAUUGGGUGUAAAGGGUGCGCAGGUGGCAGGGCAAGUCAGAUGUGAAAGCCCGGGGCUCAACCCCGGUAUUGCAUUUGAAACUGUCCGGCUAGAGUGCAGGAGAGGUAAGCGGAAUUCCUAGUGUAGCGGUGAAAUGCGUAGAUAUUAGGAGGAACACCAGUGGCGAAGGCGGCUUACUGGACUGUAACUGACACUGAGGCACGAAAGCGUGGGGAGCAAACAGGAUUAGAUACCCCAGUAC